UCUCUCUCACCCUGAAAACCACUUCCCAUUGCUCGAUCACAUUGCCAUGAACUUGAACAAAUGCAAGCUCCAGGAGCUUUGCCAAUCCAAAGGAUGGGCCAUGCCCCAUUACAGCGGCUUCAGCCAAGGCCCCCCUCACCUCUCCGCCUCUGUCCUCGUCCUCGGCUUCACCUUCCACACCAAGACUCCCUUUUUCUCUAAGAGAGACGCCGAGUGCUCUGCUGCUGGCUUGGCCCUGGACUACUUCGACCAAAACCCACUACCCAAACGCCCCAAGUCUCUCUCUUUCCCUCUUCAACCUUCUCCCUUGGCUUCACUUCCUCCACCUUCACCGCCAGGAAUGAUGUAUCUCACGUACAAGGACAAUGAGGUGUGGAAUGAGACAACUAGCGGAUAGGGAGCAAAUGAUUAUUAUGAACUGGAGCUGAAGUUUGCGGAAGAGAGAAAGCAAUGGCAAAGAGAAAAGCAUCAGCUUCAACUAAGGAACAUGGAAUUGGAGAAUCAGAUUGAUAUAAAAAGGAAUGAGCUGCCAGAGCUGGAGCACUGCCACAUGAAGAUGCAGCUCAUGAAUGAAAAAGCAGAAUCAGAGCAGCAGAGAGCUGAAAAUCUGAUAUUGCUGGCAGAAAAGAGACAGGUCUGUAUUCUUAUAUCUUUGUUGAUAAUUUCGUUGUGAAUAUGUCAUUUUGAUGACGAGAUUAUAUAUCGAGCAUGUGAUUUGAUUUGUACAAUAUGACAUGAUGAUUAUUGUAUGUGGUUUUAACAUAGAGAUUGUUAAAACGUUUUUGUCUCGGACGCAUUUUGUCUUCGGACGUGAUU